GGGGAAUAUUGCACAAUGGGGGAAACCCUGAUGCAGCAACGCCGCGUGAGUGAUGACGGCCUUCGGGUUGUAAAGCUCUGUCUUCAGGGACGAUAAUGACGGUACCUGAGGAGGAAGCCACGGCUAACUACGUGCCAGCAGCCGCGGUAAUACGUAGGUGGCGAGCGUUAUCCGGAUUUACUGGGCGUAAAGGAUGCGUAGGUGGAAUUUUAAGUGGGAUGUGAAAUACCCGGGCUCAACCUGGGAACUGCAUUCCAAACUGGAAUUCUAGAGUGCAGGAGAGGAAAGCGGAAUUCCUAGUGUAGCGGUGAAAUGCGUAGAGAUUAGGAAGAACACCAGUGGCGAAGGCGGCUUUCUGGACUGUAACUGACACUGAGGCAUGAAAGCGUGGGGAGCAAAC
rnacentral:rRNA from 1 species